rnacentral:rRNA from 1 species
CCUACGGGGCGCUGCAGUGGGGAAUAUUGCACAAUGGGGGAAACCCUGAUGCAGCGACGCCGCGUGAGUGAAGAAGUAAUUCGUUAUGUAAAGCUCUAUCAGCAGGGAAGAAAAUGACGGUACCUGAGUAAGAAGCCCCGGCUAACUACGUGCCAGCAGCCGCGGUCAUACGUAGGGGGCAAGCGGUAUCCGGAUUUACUGGGUGUAAAGGGAGCGUAGACGGCAGUGCAAGUCUGGAGUGAAAGGCGGGGGCUCAACCCCCGGACUGCUCUGGAAACUGUACGGCUGGAGUGCAGGAGAGGUAAGUGGAAUUCGUGGUGUAGCGGUGAAAUGCGUAGAUAUUAGGAGGAACACCAGUGGCGAAGGCGGCUUACUGGACUGUAACUGACGUUGAGGCUCGAAAGCGUGGGGAGCAAACAGGAUUAGAUACCCCUGUAGUC